AAACCAACAGGGAUUGCCUCAGUAACGGCGAGUGAAGCGGCAACAGCCCAAAUUUGAAAUCUGGCUUUCGGGCCCGAGUUGUAAUUUGGAGAGGGAUGCCUAUGGUAAAGCGGCUGGCAUAGUCCCCUGGAACGGGGUGCCAUAGAGGGUGAGAGCCCCGUAUGUCCGGCUGCAGCGCCUAUGCUAGGCUUCCUCAAAGAGUCGAGUAGUUUGGGAAUGCUGCUCUAAGUGGGAGGUAUAUUCCUUCUAAGGCUAAAUAUCUGCCAGAGACCGAUAGCGCACAAGUAGAGUGAUCGAAAGGUGAAAAGCACUUUGGAAAGAGGGUUAAACAGUACGUGAAAUUGCUGAAAGGGAAGCGCCUCCGGCCAGAACUUGGGGCUAUUGGAUCAUCAAGUUGGUCCUCUCUUAGGGGGGACUACUUGUGCACUUCAUUAGCUCUGGGCCAGCAUCGGCUCGGGUUAUUUACUGGGGGGAUAAAAAUAGUGGGAAAAGUAGCUCCCCCUUUCGGGGGAGUGUUAUAGUCCCCUAUAAAAUACCCCCAGCCGGGCCGAGGACCGCGCGGAAACGCAAGGA
rnacentral:rRNA from 1 species